CACAAAUAUGAAGGCGGGCUGGAACCUCUCGGGGUUACAGCCUUGCUGAAUUAUUCACCCUUGUCUUUUGCGUACUUCUUGUUUCCUUGGUGGGUUCGCCCACCACUAGGACAAACAUAAACCUUUUGUAAUUGCAAUCAGCGUCAGUAACAAAUUAAUAAUUACAACUUUCAACAACGGAUCUCUUGGUUCUGGCAUCGAUGAAGAACGCAGCGAAAUGCGAUAAGUAGUGUGAAUUGCAGAAUUCAGUGAAUCAUCGAAUCUUUGAACGCACAUUGCGCCCUUUGGUAUUCCAAAGGGCAUGCCUGUUCGAGCGUCAUUUGUACCCUCAAGCUUUGCUUGGUGUUGGGCGUCUUGUCUCUAGCUUUGCUGGAGACUCGCCUUAAAGCAAUUGGCAGCCGGCCUACUGGUUUCGGAGCGCAGCACAAGUCGCACUCUCUAUCAGCAAAGGUCUAGCAUCCAUUAAGCCUUUUUUUCAACUUUU
rnacentral:sRNA from 1 species